GGGGUUGUAGCUCAGUGGUAGAGCGCUUGCCUAGUAUGUGUGAGGCACUGGGAUGAAUCCUCAGCCCCA
rnacentral:tRNA from 1 species